rnacentral:rRNA from 1 species
GAUGAACGCUGGCGGCGUGCCUAAUACAUGCGAGUCGAGCGAAUGGAUUAAGAGCUUGCUCUUAUGAAGUUAGCGGCGGACGGGUGAGUAACACGUGGGUAACCUGCCCAUAAGACUGGGAUAACUCCGGGAAACCGGGGCUAAUACCGGAUAACAUUUUGAACCGCAUGGUUCGAAAUUGAAAGGCGGCUUCGGCUGUCACUUAUGGAUGGACCCGCGUCGCAUUAGCUAGUUGGUGAGGUAACGGCACACCAAGGCAACGAUGCGUAGCCGAACUGAGAGGGUGAUCGGCCACACUGGGACUGAGACACGGCCCAGACUCCUACGGGAGGCAGCAGUAGGGAAUCUUCCGCAAUGGACGAAAGUCUGACGGAGCAACGCCGCGUGAGUGAUGAAGGCUUUCGGGUCGUAAAACUCUGUUGUUAGGGAAGAACAAGUGCUAGUUGAAUAAGCUGGCACCUUGACGGUACCUAACCAGAAAGCCACGGCUAACUACGUGCCAGCCGCCGCCGUAA